rnacentral:rRNA from 1 species
AGCAGCCGCGGUAAUUCCAGCUCCAAUAGCGUAUAUUAAAGUUGUUGCAGUUAAAAAGCUCGUAGUUGAAUUUCGGGGUCAGUAGGUUGGUCGUGCCACGGGUAUGCACUGGUCUCACUGAUUCCUCCUUCCUGAUGAACCGUAAUGCCAUUAAUUUGGUGUUGCGGGGAAACUGGACUGUUACUUUGAAAAAUUAGAGUGUUUAAAGCAGGCUAACGCUUGAAUACAUUAGCAUGGAAUAAUGAAAUAGGACGUUCGAUCCUAUUUUGUUGGUUUCUAGGAUUGACGUAAUGAUUAAUAGGGAUAGUUGGGGGCAUUAGUAUUCAAUUGUCAGAGGUGAAAUUCUUGGAUUUAUUGAAGACUAACUACUGCGAAAGCAUUUUGCCAAGGAUGUUUUCAUUAAUCAAGAACGAAAGUUAGGGGAUCGAAGACGAUCAGAUACCGUCGUAG